GUACUUACCUGGACAGGAUCGAUGGGUGAUCAAUAAGGCCCAUAGCCUAGGUUAAUAGCCCACAUUGCACUUGGUGGGUGCGUUAGCCUACCAUCUCCCCAAGAGGGAGAGUGGACGUCAUAAUUUGUGGUAGAGGGGUACGCGUUCGCGCGGCCCCUA
rnacentral:snRNA from 1 species